rnacentral:rRNA from 1 species
CAGUCGCCGCGGGAAUACGAAGGGUGCAAGCGUUACUCGGAAUUACUGGGCGUAAAGCGUGCGUAGGUGGUGGUUUAAGUCCGUUGUGAAAGCCCUGGGCUCAACCUGGGAAUUGCAGUGGAUACUGGGUCACUAGAGUGUGGUAGAGGAUAGUGGAAUUUCCGGUGUAGCAGUGAAAUGCGUAGAGAUCGGGAGGAACAUCAGUGGCGAAGGCGGCCAUCUGGGACAACACUGACGCUGAGGCACGAAAGCGUGGGGAGCAAACAGGAUUAGAUACCCCCGUAGUCCCUGUCUCUUAUAC